GCCGUGAUUGUAUAGUGGUUAGUACUCUGUGUUGUGGCCUCAGCAACCCUGGUUUGAAUUCCGGUCAUGGCA
rfam:Danio rerio chromosome 4, GRCz11 reference primary assembly.